UAGAACGAUGACUCUCAUACUUUAGCAUCAUCUUAGUCAUCCGGAGGCCUUGUUCGACUACUGGCUGAUGGGCUUGCCCUAGGAUUUCAGUCAGCUUGCUGAUGGUCCAUCAUGGGAUUUCUUGGCCUCUACAAUCAAUGAAGUCAACAACCCUGCUCCUCCAUGCCCUUCUCUGCUUUCUGAUCACCAUGGGUUGAGCCGCUUUCCUCUACUAUGCCUUUCCACCAUGCUGUAUCUGCUUUGGAGCCAACUGACAGUGCCUGGACUGAAUUCUGACACCCCCACUUGGGGAAUCUCAGGACGAAACUGUAAGGACAUGCGUUUCUUCAGUAUUCUUUGCAUCUAUGACAUCUCCCAGAGAUCUGUGCCAUGUUCAUGUGAGAAAUGCAUUUGUUGGCUGUGGUUUCCUGUCUUUUUACAUCACCAGCCCUGCACCUGUGAAGAUCUACUUCAGAGAGGUCAAACAUGGAGUUACUGGUUUAAUUCCAAAGAGAAAAACUGGAGUUCUAAAUUGUCCCAAUAAGAAAGAAAAAGUGUUCCACCAUGAAUUGCCUUGAGAAACAUCAAUAUUAUUGGACAGUUAAUACCAAAUUGUACUCUGAGAUUACUCUAGACAAAAACAUGACUAAGGGAAGUCUGCAUUUCACUUGUAUAGUAGAGGAUCCUAAAAAAUACUCAGUAUGCUCAACUACAUUGUACCCAUUUAACUAGGCCUUCAUUCCAGAAAGUUACUCCCUUAAAUGUCCAAAGCUCUGUCCUUUCUGUCAUAUAGCUGUCCCUGGAGUUGGAUUUUAUGAACUAAUUCUUACUAGAGUAUCCUUGACUGAUACUGUUUAUUUAGUUAUUUCAAAGUGUUAAGCAGGGUGGUGUUUACUUCAUCUAAAAGGAUAUACCAUUGUAGUGGAAUUUCACACAUAAAUGACACAAGAAGGGUUAUGUUGAGAGUGACAGCAGGUUUCCUACACCUCCUCAAAUAAAACAGUACCCUUCAGAAGCAGGCCAAAUGUUUACCAUAGCAACAAGUAGUGCUAUGGAUCAGCAAGUCACUGAACACUUGAAAGCAUACAUUAAAAAAAUCAACCAACCAACCAAAGAACUAAAAAACCCAUCCAUGUCCGUUGGAAUUCCUACUUACAUUGCUCAAAGCCAUAAAGAUGAAUUAAAGGUGUUUCAGUGAAUCUAGAAGAUAAACAAGGAAUUUAACAUGAAUCCUGUGCAAAAGAGGAAAGAAAGGGAAAGUGCAUUGCAAUGGAGAGGAAUCUAAGCAUAAAGGACCGGCUUCCAGGGUCCCAGAAACACUUCGGGUCCAAGAAACAAGCUCUGUGAGACAUAUGCAAGAUUUAAUGGGAGAAAUGAUCUGGGUGCUCCUGUAGAGGGAGGAGCUGGUGCUAAAAUACAGCCUGCAGUUCUCCACCCGGUCCUAGUGCAUAACCACAUCCCCCUGGGGGACAUGUGCACUGUUCCCUCUUAAGGAAAUGCCUUUCAGCAGAGCACUCUCAGAAUUUUCACAAGAUUCUCUAUGAACUAGCAGCAGUCAUGGACCAGUGCUCCUGACUAUGUGCUCUCUAGAAAAAUAUUUGAAAGGCUGGGGAAGCAAAAUCUGAGGAUCUCAGGCCCAGAACAGACAAAAAAAAAAAAGAUACAAAAAAAAAAAUCCACAAAAAUCUCUAUCCUCCACCAGUGGCAUCACAUCACCAUUACCAGUCAUCUCUUCUGUGGAACAAACAAAAAAAAGAAUUAAGUUUUUUUCUCUCUCAGGAUCACACCAUAAUGUAAGAACAAUGAGAAAGCAAGCAGGGUGUAGGGCUAAAAGGGGACCUCUUGAAACCUACACGCCAAGGAAGUCUCCCUUUUCCAUUUUGUUAAUUUAAUGUGAAAGUGAAAUAGGCUCCUUUGCAACCUUGACAGCUAGCUUUCUGGCAAAGUGUCUAAAAUAGGACGUAAAAUGGAGACAUGAAUCGAUGAGGCUCAUUAAUAUUCAUAGACCGAUUAAGGUUGUUGAAAAAAAUUAUUUAUGAAACAGUGUAUUGUCUUCUCCUUACCAGAAGGAUUUUGUUUAGAGAGGAGAGAAGUGGAUGACAGGGCUAUGACAGAUUAGGUUAGAAUGUGCAGGUUUCUUGGUUUAGCUCCCAAGGUAAAGAAUCUAAAGCAUUUGCAAGGAAAGAUUGCCCUGGGCUGAGCACAGCAGGUGCCUCCUUGGCAACACAUGGCAGGAGGUGUAAUGAGGUGUCCCCAACAGGAGGGCCCCAGCCCCAGCGGGAUGGGAAGUCCUGCAAAGGAAAUCAGGGGUGGAUGUGGAGUGUGGUUCUGUAACAAAGGAUCAGGCCAUAGGUGAACUGGGUUUUGCUAAUGGCAGGAAGGUAACUGGUUAAAGAUGAAUGACAUUUAACCUUUAACUUUUAUGUUAUGUAACAUACAACUGAAUAAUAUACAAUAUUAUUGCGUAUUCUUAUAAUAUGCAAUAAACAUAAUUUACAAUUUUUUCACAUUAAAUCCAUAUUUGUUGUAUAUGAUGUUAUUUCUAACUAAUUAAUUAUGUGCUGGUCUUUAAUCUAAUAAAGACAGAGUGAAAGUCAGUGAGUUUAGAAAUAGGCUCAGGUUUUCAAGUGAACUCUGUGGAAGUGCUGUGUCCUUCUACCAUCAGAGGUUUUAUUGUGAGUCCCUUAUCUUCAGGAGCCCUUUACUCCUUCGUCUUCCAGAUCCUUUACAUGUUUGUGGAAAUAAUCUCUUAGGAUCUAAAGAAAUUUUGAAAUGUCACCUUAUAAUUUUAGAAUUGAGGAUUGAGAGCGUAAGAGUGAGAACCUCAGAACAGAGCAUAGUUGUUCCUAAGGCCUUACAGAGCACCGUGUAUGUUUUAAAAAGAAAGUCCCUACUGGUUGUGCUCCCUAAAUCCAGUCUUCGGUGUAUGUGCCCAGCCCUCAUAAGAAAUGUCUAGAAUAGGUAAAUCUAUAGGGAAGAAAGCAGACUCAUGGUUGCCUGAAACUAGAGGAGGGGAAGAUGGGGAGUCACUGCUAACAGAUUUCUUUUUGCGGGUAAUGAAGUGUUCAGGAAUUGGACAGUGGUGAUUGUUACAAAAUCCUUUUUAUGUGUAAAAUAAAGUGGAUUGCACAUUUUAUCAUGGUAAACGUUAUGUAAAUGUUUAUUUCAAUUUUUAAAAU